AUGAAAAUCCCCCCAGCAAAGGCUGAGAAAAUCGCUUCCCAGAUGAUCACUGAAGGACGCAUGAAUGGCUUCAUCGACCAGAUAGACAGCAUUGUACACUUUGAGACCCGUGAAGCCCUUCCUACCUGGGACAAACAGAUCCAGUCUCUGUGUUUCCAAGUCAACAACCUCCUAGAAAAGAUCCGUUCGGCUGCUCCAGAGUGGGCGGCACAGGCUAUGGAAACCCAGAUGACCCAGUAAACAUCCCCACCCCUCCAGAA